rnacentral:rRNA from 1 species
UACGUAGGGUGCAAGCGUUAAUCGGAAUUACUGGGCGUAAAGCGUGCGCAGGCGUUUUUGUAAGACCGAUGUGAAAUCCCCGGGCUUAACCUGGGAACUGCAUUGGUGACUGCAAGGCUUGAGUGUGUCAGAGGGAGGUGGAAUUCCGCGUGUAGCAGUGAAAUGCGUAGAUAUGCGGAGGAACACCGAUGGCGAAGGCAGCCUCCUGGGAUAACACUGACGCUCAUGCACGAAAGCGUGGGGAGCAAACAGG